rnacentral:tRNA from 1 species
UGGAUUUUCAUAAAUCCCUUAAA